rnacentral:rRNA from 1 species
UACGUAGGUGGCAAGCGUUGUCCGGAAUUACUGGGCGUAAAGGGCGCGUAGGUGGUGACAUUAGAGUGAUGUGAAAGCCCUGGGCUUAACCUGGGAAGUGCAUCGCUAACUGUGUGACUAGAGUUUGGGAGAGGGUGAUGGAAUUUCCGGUGUAGCGGUGAAAUGCGUAGAGAUCGGAAGGAACGUCGAUGGCGAAGGCAGUCACCUGGCCUAAAACUGACACUGAGGCGCGAAAGCGUGGGGAGCAAACAGG